UCGUGUCCUUCUUGUCUCUGUGUCGUCGUUUUGUUCUCGCGCUAUAACUAUCGUCAUUUCCACUCAGCCAUUUUUAAAAUCCUCUUUGGGUACCUUUCCUUUUUCCGUGUCCUUGGGUGUGAUGACUGCGGCGGCGGCCUCUUGCCUAGCGAGGCCCCUCUGCGCGUUCUCGCCGCUGGAGGGAAAUUUGGCGCGUCAGUCUGGGGUGCUGUUGUCAUGUGCCGACUGUGAGCAUGUGUUGCUCGUGUCUCGUAGGUGACGGAGCAGCGCAAGUUAGCUGUCGCUGUUGGCGAAGUACGGCCUGCUUUUUCUAUCGCUUCCCGAUUUCUUCAAGGAGAUGAUGUCAGUGGUUGUCGUCGAUUUUUGAAUCGCUCUGAAGAAUGCCGUCGACGGCGAAAAAAAAACGCAGAGGUGGUGCUUUGUGCCAGGUUGCGACGCCAGCUACAAGUCUUGCGGUGAAAGACUGCCUCUCUUUCGUGCACCUGCCCGUGAGGAUGAAUUUGAAAACUGGGCACGUGCCAUACCAAGGGCCGACAAGCUACGGCAAGAGAAUUCUGCAGUUUGCGAAAGGCAUUUUAACCCAAGGUUUAUCAUGAGACACUACGUGCACAUUGUGAAUGGAAAGGAGGUCCAUAUACCACGCGAUGUGCCUGCCCUUAAGGAGAGUGCUAUUCGAACAAUUUUCCCGAACCUUCCAAAGUAUAUGACGAAAACUCUGCCAAGAGAGAGGAAGAGAAGAAUGGGACAGGGCUCUUCCGAGCCUGCAAAGAAGAGCCGCGAAGACAUUGAUGAUUCAGAACUCCGGCGCAGUUCAUUAUCAUAAUCAAGUGCAUAAGCUUUUACAGCUUGGC